ACCUGGGUGGCUCAGUCGAUUAAGCGUCUGACUUUGGCUCAGGUCUGAUCUCACCAUUUGUGGGUUCGAGCCCCGUCUCGGGCU
rnacentral:tRNA from 1 species